AGGUCCUUGGUUAGUGGCGAACGGGUGAGUAACACGUAGGUGACCUGCCCCGAAGAGGGGGACAACCACUGGAAACGGUGGCUAAUACCCCAUGUGGUCCCGCAUUCGUUUGCGGGAUUAAAGGCUCCGGCGCUUCGGGAGGGGCCUGCGGCCUAUCAGCUAGUUGGUAGGGUAAUGGCCUACCAAGGCGAUGACGGGUAGCUGGUCUGAGAGGAUGGACAGCCACACUGGCACUGAGACACGGGCCAGACUCCUACGGGAGGCAGCAGUGAGGAAUAUUGCGCAAUGGGGGAAACCCUGACGCAGCAACGCCGUGUGGGCGAUGAAGGUCUUCGGAUCGUAAAGCCCUUUUCUCCCGGACGAGAAAGGACGGUACGGGAGGAAUAAGUGUCGGCUAACUACGUGCCAGCAGCCGCGGUAAAACGUAGGACGCAAGCGUUAUCCGGAUUCAUUGGGCGUAAAGGGCGUUUAGGCGGCGUCUUAGUUGGGCGUGAAAUCUUCCGGCUUAACUGGAAGGGUGCGUCCAAUACUGGGACGCUUGAGGGCGGCAGAGGGAGGUGGAAUUCCCGGUGUAGCGGUGGAAUGCGUAGAUAUCGGGAGGAACACCUGUGGCAAAGGCGGCCUCCUGGGCUGUACCUGACGCUGAAGCGCGAAAGCGUGGGGAGCGAACGGGCUUAGAUACCCCGGUAGUCCACGCCGUAAACGAUGGAUACUAGGUGUUGGUGGUAUUGACCCCAUCGGUGCCGCAGCUAACGCAUUAAGUAUCCCGCCUGGGGACUACGGCCGCAAGGCUAAAACUCAAAGGAAUUGACGGGGGCCCGCACAAGCAGCGGAGCGUGUGGUUUAAUUCGAUGCAACACGAAGAACCUUACCAGGGUUUGACAUGCACGUGGUAGGGAACCGAAAGGGGACCGACCCUUCGGGGAGCGUGCACAGGUGCUGCAUGGCUGUCGUCAGCUCGUGCCGUGAGGUGUUGGGUUAAGUCCCGCAACGAGCGCAACCCUCGUCGCUAGUUGUACUUUUCUAGCGAGACUGCCGAGAUAACUCGGAGGAAGGUGGGGAUGACGUCAAGUCAGCAUGGCCUUUAUGUCCCGGGCUACACACACGCUACAAUGGCCGGUACAAUGGGUUGCCAAGCCGCGAGGCGGAGCUAAUCCUAAAAAGCCGGUCUCAGUUGGGAUUGGAGUCUGCAACUCGACUCCAUG
rnacentral:rRNA from 1 species